GGGCAGCAGUGGGAGCUGGAUUUGCCUGUGGUGCUUCGAACCCCCACCCCUACCCCGAGCACAGCAGGACCCAGGGACUCCAUGGACAAAAAGCAAUGACUUCCAGGUCCUGCCAUGGACGAUUCAAGCUGCUGAGGAAAAGAAACCAGCUGGAGCAGCCAGCAAACGCUGAACCUGUUGGGAAACGCUGGCCUGGCUUUGGCGCUGGCAGCAGCAGAGGACAAGGACUGCGCCAUAAAAGAGCUGCAGACGCGGCACCCGCAUCCCCUGGUCCCAGGCUGCACCGUCCUCCCACCAACAGCACGAUGCUGGGGAUGUGGUGGCCCACACUGGUGUCCCUGCUGGUCCCCGCAGUGGUGGCCCAGCUGCACCCCAAGCGGGAGCUGGACACCCAGUGGGACCUAUGGAAGAAAACCUAUCGCAAGCAGUACAACGGUGAGGCGGAUGAGGUGGCGCGGAGGCUGAUCUGGGAGAAGAACCUCAAGUACAUCAACACCCACAACCUGGAGCAUGCGCUGGGCGUCCACACCUUCGAGCUGGCCAUGAACCACCUGGGCGACAUGACCAGCGAGGAGGUGGUGAGGACGAUGACAGGCUUGAAGGUGCCCCGUGGCCACCCACAUCGCAACAAGACACUCUACAUCCCUGACUGGACCGAGAGAGCCCCGGCUUCUGUGGACUGGAGGAGGAAAGGCUACGUGACACCUGUCAAGAACCAGGGCCAGUGUGGCUCGUGCUGGGCUUUCAGCUCAGUGGGCGCGCUGGAGGGGCAGCUGAAGCGGAAGACGGGGAAGCUCCUCUCCCUCAGCCCCCAAAACCUGGUGGAUUGCGUGGCCAACAACGACGGUUGUGGUGGCGGCUACAUGACCAAUGCCUUUGAGUACGUCCGGCAGAACCGCGGCAUCGACUCGGAGGAUGCCUACCCUUACAUCGGCCAGGAUGAGAGCUGCAUGUACAGCCCCACUGGGAAGGCAGCCAAGUGCCGCGGCUACCGGGAAAUCCCUGAAGGGAACGAGAAGGCUUUGAAGAGGGCUGUGGCCAGAAUCGGACCCGUCUCUGUGGGCAUUGAUGCCAGCCUGCCCUCCUUCCAGUUCUACAGCCGCGGCGUGUACUACGAUGAGAGCUGCAAUGCCGAAAACAUCAACCAUGCAGUGCUGGCGGUGGGCUAUGGCACACAGAAGGGCACCAAGCACUGGAUCAUCAAGAACAGCUGGGGUGAGGAGUGGGGCAACAAGGGCUAUGUCCUCCUGGCACGCAACAUGAACAACGCCUGCGGCAUUGCCAACCUCGCCAGCUUCCCCAAGAUGUGAGCGUUCCCAGCGCAUUCCCUUCCUGCGUCAUAUCCAGCCACCCUCCUGCUUCCUUGUUUUCAAACUUGGCCUUUUCACUCUCAGUCUCUGAAGCUGAUGUCACUGCAGGGGGGAUCUCUGCCUCUCCAUGAGAAAUCUCCCUCAGAAGAGGGGCGAGACCCCCCGGCUGCAGACAUGGGAGGUGAAUGGCCUGGCUGGCUGAUGGAGAGGACAAGGGGUGCUGGUUAACUCAUCCGGGCCUGUCAGGAUGCACCAUCAGGGUUGUGUGAAACCAGAACGACGCUGUGAAAAGAAAGUGAAAUCAGAGCAUUUCCUCAUUCACCAGCUCCCAGCUGCAGCAAGCGGAGGGAUCUCCGUGCUGUCCCAGGUCCCUUGCGCCCAUCCUGAGGCUGAGCCGGGCUCUGUGGGAAGCUGCACCGUGGCCAGGCAGGCAGUGUGUCCCCCUUGACUGCUACUUUUCCUCGAGAGCUGCUGCAGUGGUGGAGAUGGAAAGUAGGCAGGGGAAAUACUUGGGGAAACGUGAAGCUUCCUUAGAAGAGGCUUUCUUGGUGGGGUCAGAGUGGCACUGCAGAAAGAGGAAGGGGACCGACGUGCAACAUGGGAGAGGAACCUGCAACUGGUGACACUGCACAAUCUGGAGCACUCCCUGGGGCUGCACUCCUAUGAGCUGGGCAUGAA